CCUACGGGUGGCUGCAGUGGGGGAUAUUGCACAAUGGGGGGAACCCUGAUGCAGCGACGCCGCGUGGGUGAAGGAGUGCUUCGGCAUGUAAAGCCCUAUCGGCAGGGAAGAAGCAAGACGGUACCGGACUAAGAAGCGCCGGCUAACUACGUGCCAGCAGCCGGGGUAAGACGUAGGGGGCGAGCAUUAUCCGGAUUCACUGGGUGGAAAGGGAGCGUAGGGGGCCAUGCAAUCCAAGGGUGAAAGCCCGGGGCCGAACCCCGGGACUGCCCUUGGAACUGCAUGGCUGGAGUGCGGGAUGGGCAGGCGGAAUGCCUGGUGUAGCGGUGAAAUGCGUAGAUAUCAGGAGGAACACCGACGGCGAAGGCGGCCUGCUGGCCCGCGACUGACGUUGAGGCUCGAAAGCGUGGGGAGCGAACAGGAUUAGAUACCCGAGUAGUC
rnacentral:rRNA from 1 species